rnacentral:lncRNA from 1 species
UUGUAAGGUUUUUAAUGAGGAAGACUCUUCAGAGUUCCAAGCUUGGCUUAGGAUCUCCUAAAGUCAAAGCUUGAGGGGGAGUGUUGAACUGAAGAGAAGAUGGAGCUUGUACAAUAAUAGGGCAAGCUCUAGAAGAUGUUAAGAAGAGUUCUAUGAAGCUUCAGAAGAGAUGUGAAGCUAGUACAAAGAUAAGAUAGUGAUCAAGAAGAGUAGUAAUCAGAGUUGGGAGAUCUUUGGAGGAGUUUGGGAGCUUAAGGGCGAGGCCG